GUCAUCCCAGCAGCCUAUUUUAGCUCGUGGGGCUCUUGAGAAGACAAAUCCUCUGUGCCUGUUGGAGCCUGAGCAGUCCCACAGAGCAGCUCUGUCGCCUCAGCAGUUCCCAACAACGGGCUCCUCCAGAGAAGUUAAAGGAUCUGCCAGAGCUCAUCUAGGGCUCUGAGAUGGGAAUCUGUUGUCCUGCCUCUCAGCACUACAGGGUGGAGCACAGGUUCCACACUGCGCUGAGAAUUUUCCAUUUCCACUCAAAUCCGGGCAAUGUCAGCCCAGGACCUUACAAAAAUAUACCAGGUGUGAAACUGGAAUACACACCUGAAAACACAUUUUAAUUCUCAAAAUCUGACUUAUCAGACAAAAACUUCCUAAAACCUGCUACAAAAUGAUGUCAUC